rnacentral:rRNA from 1 species
UACAGAGGUCUCAAGCGUUGUUCGGAUUCAUUGGGCGUAAAGGGUGCGUAGGCGGCGCGGUAAGUCGGGUGUGAAAUCUCGGAGCUUAACUCCGAAACUGCAUUCGAUACUGCCGUGCUUGAGGACUGGAGAGGAGACUGGAAUUUACGGUGUAGCGGUGAAAUGCGUAGAUAUCGUAAGGAACACCUGCGGCGAAGGCGGGUUGCUGGGCUGACACUGACGCUGAUGCGCGAAAGCCAGGGGAGCGAACGGG